rnacentral:lncRNA from 1 species
GCCAUUAUUGAUAUAGAUAGCAUUAAUUUUGUGUGCAUCUUUCAUCUUUACAGUGUGCUACUGGAUUUAUGAUGAAACUGAAGGAUCCUUGUUGCAGUAUUGCCAGGAUUCAGGAAUGACAAUGCCUAAGAAGUCAUGGACAUUAAGAGAUAAAGUACAAGCAUCUUGAAUGAAAAUCAAUCUACACUUUGAACUAUUCCUGAGAAAAAAAGAAGAAGAAAAAAAGGUUAUCCUACUGAUGGGGGCAAAACCAAUCAACCAGAAGAAAACCCAACAAUCUGAGGAAGUGUGAUUUCCAUGUGAGUUUUCCAUGUGAGUAUAUUUUUAAUUCUACCAUUCUACUCCUGAAAAGGACCAUUCAAACCUCAGUUGUGAUACUUCUCCCUCUUUCCUGGAGUCUUGACUGCUCUCACAGCAGUACGUUAAAAUGCUGCAUCAUGCUACUGACAGU